rnacentral:rRNA from 1 species
GAUGAACGCUGACAGAAUGCUUAACACAUGCAAGUCAACUUGAACUUCGGUUUGGGUGGCGGCCGGGUGAGUCACGCGUAAAGAACUUGCCUCACAGAUAGGGACAACAUUUGGAAACGAAUGCUAAUACCUGAUAUUAUGAUUAUAUGGCAUCGUAUAAUUAUGAAAGCUAUAUGCGCUGUGAGAGAGCUUUGCGUCCCAUUAGCUAGUUGGAGGGGUAACGGCUCACCAAGGCGAUGAUGGGUAGCCGGCCUGAGAGGGUGAUCGGCCACAAGGGGACUGAGACACGGCCCUUACUCCUACGGGAGGCAGCAGGGGGGAAUAUUGGACAAUGGACCAAGAGUCUGAUCCAGCAAUUCUGUGUGCACGAUGAAGUUUUUCGGAAUGUAAAGUGCUUUCAGUUGGGAAGAAAAAAAUGACGGUACCAACAGAAGAAGUGACGGCUAAAUACGUG